rnacentral:rRNA from 1 species
UGGGGAAUUUUGGACAAUGGGGGAAACCCUGAUCCAGCCAUCCCGCGUGUGCGAUGAAGGCCUUCGGGUUGUAAAGCACUUUUGGCAGGAAAGAAACGUCGCGGGUUAAUACCCCGCGAAACUGACGGUACCUGCAGAAUAAGCACCGGCUAACUACGUGCCAGCAGCCGCGGUAAUACGUAGGGUGCAAGCGUUAAUCGGAAUUACUGGGCGUAAAGCGUGCGCAGGCGGUUCGGAAAGAAAGAUGUGAAAUCCCAGAGCUUAACUUUGGAACUGCAUUUUUAACUACCGGGCUAGAGUGUGUCAGAGGGAGGUGGAAUUCCGCGUGUAGCAGUGAAAUGCGUAGAUAUGCGGAGGAACACCGAUGGCGAAGGCAGCCUCCUGGGAUAACACUGACGCUCAUGCACGAAAGCGUGGGGAGCAAACAGGAUUAGAUACCCUGGUAGUCCACGCCCUAAAACGAUGUCAACUAGCUGUUGGGGGCCUUCGGGCCUUGGUAGCGCAGCUAACGCGUGAAGUUGACCGCCUGGGGAGUACGGUCGCAAGAUU